AUGUCUCUGUUUUGACGGAAGAAAAACAAGGCGGGGGAGAGAAAUCAGUGAAGUUUAACUUCGGUUCACGGGGAGGUUCAGCGACGCGAAACAAAACUACAGCGAAAUACAAGAACAAACAGAAACGUGUUUACACACCCUCAGGAAAGAGUCCAAGGAGCCAUUCUCCAUGUACUCUGUGAUGAUCAUUACUGGUUUGCCUUGGCAGAGAACGCAAAAACAUGGAGAAAAACAGGGGAAAGAACAAGGAAAAGAUGUCAGGAGAUUGGAGAGAUGAUGAAAAGUCUGGGUAAAGUAAAACAGAACUGCAGGUGGAUGACGUUGGGGUGAUCGAACUGUGCCAUGAUGCUGGCCUCGCCGAGGAAAUCCCUUCUCUGUUUCUCAGUGUAGCCAGCUUUAAGAGUCUUCAGAGCCACAGGGAUAUCACGUUUUCCGGGCAGCUUCAUCCGCCCAUAACACACUUCCCCAAACUCUCCUGAUGUGUGCCAGAAAAAAAGGAUUAUACAGUGGACAGUGUCCACUCAUGUUGGAUUUGGAUUCAAGUAAGACUUUCGACCUUCACAAUGAGUCACAUGACAUCUGAAUGCUUUGUCAUUAGUACUACAGUUAUGUGUAAAGUUAUGCUCAUGUUUUUUUUUCCUAUUUUUCCUUUAAUAUAUAUAUUAAUCUAUAAUUUUUUCAUCUGAUUUUUUCCCCCAAUAUUUUCUUCAUAUCAUGUUGAUCUCGAUGCCCAGGUGUUUUUCACACAAUCGCCAAGGACAGCUAUACCUGAACCGAUGAUUUUCUCUAUUUUGAUCCUGGACGCUUCAAUUUCUCUGGCAAAUUCGUGGACAGCCUGGCAGGGGUCCUCAUAUGUGUGGGGAUCAAUAUAAAAUCUGGCUUCUGGAAAUGAUACUAGAAUAAACAGAAUUAGCAUUUGGUCACAUAUUGCAGCAUGAAAGCAAUUUUCAGUCACAGCCACAAUCUCUGAAGGGCCCAGGCAGAAGCUACAGCAAGAUAUUGGACCAAAAAAGCAAUAGUUUCCUGCCUAAAAUUCAUUAAAAGAGAAAUCAUCAGGGGAAAAGUGUGCCUCUCAUACCAUGGCCAUUUUGGUAGUGCAUUUUCUCCUCGUCUGAGUCUUGGAAAGCUUUGCUGUACCCACAACGUCUGUAACGCAAUCCAGAAGGAGAAACAGAAAUGUUUAUUUUUUUAAAACGGCCUUGUGAUGUACAUCCCACAUGUUAAUAAUAUUCAAACGUAAAACUUAAAGAAUGUAAAACUUAAUUAACUCCACACUUAAUUACCGAAGACAAUUUUUUGAUAACAAACGUCCUUUGUUUUAAUCCGCUGCCUUAUAUUUAUCAAGCAAACUGAAAAAGUGUCCGUUCAUUGAUGUUAAAUUUUCAUCAAAUUCACAUGGAGACUUGUGCAAAUCAUUGCCAUCAAAAAGCAAUAGAAAGCAACAAAGACCACUCACUUUUUCAGUGUUUUCACAUUCAUUUUCUCCACAAGUUCUUCAAUAAAGAGUUCAACUGAGUUCAAUUCUGAGCUGAAUUAAACUAAAGCAAAAAGUAUUUUUGAAAAGCCCCCCAAAAAUUCAAGAAUGCAAUCGAAUCAGAAACAGCGGUACAACACGAAACAAUCUAGGUAAGAUUGAAUGUAUAAAAUAUACAUUUAAACUUUAUAGCAAAAUAUGCAAACAUUACAUAAUCCACAAAGCUUCAUGGGAGUUUUAUGAUAUUUGAUACAGCGCUUUUGUACAUUAUUGCAUUAUUUUGUAUGGAGAAAAUGAAUUUGAUUUUUAUUUCUGGAACCCUACAGUUGUGCUAUAUGAUUUAAGGAUAUUUCGCAGUGUUAUUAGUCCAAAAUCAAUCAAAAUUAAUUUCCAUUGUGCAGGCAAGUUCACACUAAUGACAAUAACUAUAACGAUAACAAUAAAUAUAAAGUUUUAAAAAUCAUUCUAAACAUAAAAGAAUAGCAGAGUCCACAGCACAACUAUAAUGGCACAGAGAAAUGAUAUUGUUGGAAUCACAUUCAGAACUAUUUUUUUCAGCUGAUAAAUGAUAAAAACAUUGACAGCCAAUCAGAAUUCAUCCUGCUGUAAUGAGCUUGAGCAUAUAAAGCGGUAGACAACAAAACUGCAGAGCCCGCUUAGAAUAAAUAAAACGUUUUCGUCUGCUGGUGUGGACUCUAAUAUCGUUAUAUAUAUCUUUAUAGUUAUCGUUCUUGGUGUGAACGGGCCUUAAGUUGUGUAUUUCAGGGUGUAAAUGUACCUAAAUAUAUAUAUAAUGCCGUGAAACACUUUCAAAGAUAAUUACAGCAUGAUUCAUUGAGCUGUUUGAGUGGGAUUAUUUUAGGAUGGGAAGCUGGCAUGAAUAUUCUCUUAAUCAAUUCACUCAAAAAUGACAAUUCUUCCUCAUUUACUCUCAUAUCAAUCUAAACCUGUAUGACUUAUGAAGAUGUACAAUAGCAAAAUCAAAGAUAUUUCCUAUUCUCCUUGUUGCGUUCACUAGAGAAGGAGAGAUGUUUGAUUUGUGAAUGAAUCAUUCAUUUGAGUCAAUUUUUUUCAAUGAAUCAUUUGCUCCAGUUCACAAAACAGGUCUGAAUUAUUAAAAAAAUUCAGCUCAUCCAGUCAAUGAUUCAGUCACAGACAGAAAGUCACACAGGUUUGGAAUGAACUAUAUGAACUAUCCCUUUAACAUAUGUAACAGAAUAAAGCAGGGGAAAUGAAUGCAGACAAUUCAAA